rnacentral:rRNA from 1 species
CAUGUAGGCGGCCUUUUAAGUCGGUUGUGAAAUCCCUUGGCUUAACCAAGGAACUGCAACCGAUACUGAGAGGCUUGAGUGCGGAAGAGGAAAGCGGAAUUCCCGGUGUAAGAGUGAAAUCUGUAGAGAUCGGGAGGAACACCAGUGGCGAAGGCGGCUUUCUGGUCCGCAACUGACGCUGAAAUGCGAAAGCUAGGGGAGCAAACAGGAUUAGAUACCCUGGUAGUCC